rnacentral:rRNA from 1 species
AACGUAGGUGGCGAGCGUUAUCCGGAUUUACUGGGCGUAAAGGGCGUGCAGGUGGCUUGAUAAGUUCGGCGUGAAAUUUCCCGGCUUAACCUGGGAAUUGCGCUUGAAACUAGCGGGCUUGAGUGUGGCAGAGGGGGGUGGAAUUCCACGUGUAGCAGUGAAAUGCGUAGAGAUGUGGAGGAACACCGAUGGCGAAGGCAGCCCCCUGGGUCAACACUGACGCUCAUGCACGAAAGCGUGGGGAGCAAACAGG